CGCAAAUGCUUAGUGGCAUUGACCUGGACUCAGGAAUCAGGAUGCUUGAUGACACAAACAAAUUAUCCAAGUGCGUCCAGAUUGCACGACUCUAUUUGGAGGAUGAUGAUGCAGUGAAUGCUGAAGCUUUUAUCAACAAAGCCUCGUUUUUUGUCACAAACAGCAACCAGGAAGUUCUGAACUUACAAUAC